rnacentral:rRNA from 1 species
CCUACGGGGGGCAGCAGUGGGGAAUAUUGGACAAUGGGGGCAACCCUGAUCCAGCCAUGCCGCGUGUGUGAAGAAGGCCCUCGGGUUGUAAAGCACUUUCAGUGAGGAAGAACGCCUGGUGGUUAAUACCCAUCAGGAAAGACAUCACUCACAGAAGAAGCACCGGCUAACUCCGUGCCAGCAGCCGCGGUAAUACGGAGGGUGCGAGCGUUAAUCGGAAUUACUGGGCGUAAAGCGCGCGUAGGUGGCUUGAUAAGCCGGUUGUGAAAGCCCCGGGCUCAACCUGGGAACGGCAUCCGGAACUGUCAAGCUAGAGUGCAGGAGAGGAAGGUAGAAUUGCCGGUGUAGCGGUGAAAUGCGUAGAGAUCGGGAGGAAUACCAGUGGCGAAGGCGGCCUUCUGGACUGACACUGACACUGAGGUGCGAAAGCGUGGGUAGCAAACAGGAUUAGAUACCCUUGUAGUC